GUGCCAGCAGCCGCGGUAAUACGUAGGAUGCAAGCGUUGUCCGGAAUUAUUGGGCGUAAAGCGUACGUAGGCGGUUCGUUAAGUCAGGGGUUAAAGACUGAGGCUCAACCUCAGGAGUGCCCUUGAUACUGGCGGGCUUGAGGACGGCAGAGGAAAGUGGAAUUCCCAGUGUAGCGGUGAAAUGCGUAGAUAUUGGGAGGAACACCAGUGGCGAAAGCGACUUUCUGGGCCGUUCCUGACGCUGAGGUACGAAAGCGUGGGGAGCAAACAGGAUUAGAUACCCUGGUAGUCCACGCCGUAAACGAUGGAUACUAGGUGUAGAGGGUAUCGACCCCCUCUGUGCCGUAGCUAACGCGUUAAGUAUCCCGCCUGGGGAGUACGGUCGCAAGGCUGAA
rnacentral:rRNA from 1 species